UGUGAGUGCAAGUGGUUCAGGGCAGAUGC
rnacentral:piRNA from 1 species